rnacentral:rRNA from 1 species
AGUUUCGAGGUAGUGACGAGAAUAACAAUACAGGGCAUUUUAUGCUCUGUAAUUGGAAUGAUGGGAAUGUAAAACCCUUCCAGAGUAACAAUUGGAGGGCAAGUCUGGUGCCAGCAGCCGCGGUAAUUCCAGCUCCAAUAGUGUAUAUUAGAGUUGUUGCAGUUAAAAAGCUCGUAGUUGGAUUUCUGCCGUGGUCUGCCGGCUCCGCCCAGUAUUGGGUGCGAGCGUGGUUUGGCCUCGGCAUUUUCCCGGUAGCCUUCCGCCUU